rnacentral:rRNA from 1 species
GACGAACGCUGGCGGCGUGCUUAACACAUGCAAGUCGAACGCUAAGGCCCGGCUUUGGUGGUCUGCUCGAGUGGCGAACGGGUGAGUAACGCGUGAGUAACCUGCCCGUGACUGGGGGAUAACUUCUGGAAACGGUGGCUAAUACCGGAUAACAGCUCCUGCUGCAUGGUGGGGGUUGGAAAGUUUCGGCGGUUGGGGAUGGACUCGCGGCUUCGCAGCUUUAUGGUGGGGUAGUGGCUUACCACGGCGUUGACGGGUAGCCGGCCUGGGAGGGUGACCGGCCACAUUGGGACUGAGAAACGACCAAGACUCAUACGGGAGGAAGGAGUGGGAGUUAGUGCACACUGCGCGGCAGGCUGAAGCAGGGACGCCGGGUGCGGGAUGACGGCCUUCGGGUUGUAAACAGCUUUAGACUGUAAAGAAGCGUGAGUGACGGUAAUGGAUCAAGAAGCAACGGCUAACUACGUG